CCCUUAGACGUUCUGGGCCGCACGCGCGCUACACUGACCAGUGCAACAAGCAUCCGUCCUUGGCCGACAGGCUCGGGCAAUCUUUGAACGCUGGUCGUGAUGGGGAUAGACUUUUGCAAUUUUUGGUCUCCAACGAGGAAUUCCUAGUAAACGCAAGUCAUCAACUUGCAUUGAUUACGUCCCUGCCCUUUGUACACACCGCCCGUCGCACCUACCGAUUGAAUGGUCCGGUGAAGCCUCCGGAUUGGCGCGCACCUCGGUGCCGCCGAGAAGUUGGCUAAACCUUACCAUUUAGAGGAAGGUGAAGUCGUAACA
rnacentral:rRNA from 1 species